UACAGAGGUCCCGAGCGUUGUUCGGAUUCACUGGGCGUAAAGGGUGCGUAGGUGGCUUGGAAAGUUUGAUGUGAAAGCUCAGGGCUUAACCCUGAAAUGGCAUUGAAUACUGCCGGGCUGGAGGUUUGGAGGGGGGACUGGAAUUCUUGGUGUAGCAGUGAAAUGCGUAGAUAUCAAGAGGAACACCAGUGGCGAAGGCGAGUCCCUGGACAACACCUGACACUGAGGCACGAAAGCUAGGGGAGCAAACAGG
rnacentral:rRNA from 1 species